UAAUCAUCAGCUUUCUGUUCAGUUUGGGAUGGAAUUGGAUGUAUUUAUAUAAGGUAAAGUAAUCUCACAAGCUGCCAAAGAACACAUCCCAAGUAGUAAUCACAGAUGAUGAAGCACCUUACAGGACACCUCCACCCUCAAACACGCAUGUCCAGAGAAGUAUUAAUGCCUUAAUAGACUACUGAAGGCUAACUAUUUACAUCAUUCUAAAAAUAUUUUAAGCUGUAUUACAGUGCUAUAAAUUCUCCUUUUAAGGAAAAAAGUAAUAGAUUGUUUCCUUACCGUGUUUGAAAGGAAAAAAAAUAAAUCCAUAGUAACU
rnacentral:sRNA from 1 species